rnacentral:rRNA from 1 species
GACGAACGCUGGCGGCGUGCUUAACACAUGCAAGUCGAACGGAAAGGCCCUGCUUUUGUGGGGUUCUCGAUUGGCGAACGGGGGAGUAACACGUGAGUAACCUGCCCUUGACUUUGGGAUAACUUCAGGAAACUGGGGCUAUUACCGGAUAGGAUCUCCUGCUGCAUGGUGGGCGUUGGUGAGUUAGGGCGGUUGUGGAUGGACUCGCAGCUUAUCAGCUUGUUUGGCGAGUAGUGGCAUACCAAGGCUUCGACGGAUAGCCCGCCUGAGAGGUUGGCCAGGCACAUGGGGACUGAGAUACGGAGCAGACUGGUACGGGAGGCAGCAGUGGGGAAUAUUGCACAAUGGGGGGAAGCCUGAUGCAGAAACCCCGCGUGCGGGAUAACGGGCUACGGGUGGUAAACCGAUUUGGCAUGAGACGAAGCGUGCGUGGCGGUAAUGGGUAAAGAAGCGCCGGCUAACUACGUG